rnacentral:tRNA from 1 species
AGGGUUGUAGUUCAAAGGUAGAGCACUUGCCUCGCAUGCGUGAGGCCCUGGGUUCAAUCCUCAGCACCACAU